UCUGCAGUGAGCUUGAUCCAGCAUCCUCAGCGCUGCCGCCAGUCCCACAAAGCACAGAGUGUGGUGGUGCUGGUGGUCCUGGUCCAGCAAAGAUGGACCUCCUCUCCCCUGUGAUGAAGAGCUAAUCACUCUGCCUCCCUGCUCCUGCAGCAACAGCAGCGGGAUGCUUUGCCAGCAGGUGACUGCUCAGGUGUGUGGCAGAAGAGAGGAACAGACGAGCUCUGUGGCUGCUCUGGGUCCAGCAGAGCCAGGCCAGGAUGGAGGAUCAGGCCAUGCUGGUUCCUCGAGGCUGGAGCCCAAGUGCUCUGAAAACACCAGAGCCCUGAGCAAUGAGUGUGUGUGGCAGGUCUGUACACAUAUUUCCUUCUGUGAAGUAAUGGGAUGAAACAGAGGAAAUAAGGCUGUUUGUGGAAACGAGCACAGGCUUCAUCCUUUGAGGGUCUGCAACAUCCUGACUCCUCCUCACUUACUUCAAGGUUUCUGUUUUCUUGGGAUCAAUGCAGGAAUGUUGCAUGUUCAUGACAGCCCGUUGCACCAGAGGUUGGUGGACCCUGGUGUGAUGCCUACAGCUGAGCACACUGGAUCAUCAGCACAGCCUCAUCACAACCUCCGGUGCCCAAAUGGUGCCUCUGUCCCACAGCCAGGCCCUGAAACCAGGAGGUGACUAGCUAAGGGUUGGAAGGAAGUGUUCGGCACGGCCUCUGUUAAGCGCCCCUUCAGAACAAGCGCGGCUGCGUCGAUGAGGAGUGCAGAUAAUCACAGCUGUCAGUUGGAUGAUCAGCUAAAGAUGGUGCUGAAGCCUCCAGCCAGCAACACCCAGGACUCUGCUGAGGUUUUGUCCGACUUCGCUUAAUGAGAUCAGUGUCUCCUGAACCGGGCCCUUGUGAGUUCAGUGGAAACGCUCCAGUUGUUUCACGUGGGAACGUGUUGUUUUCUCCAUUAAAGCAGAAAUCCUGUUUCUUCCAGGGCACAUGACUCAGCUGUGAGCAGACAGCAUCACCUCCCGUGGGCUCAUUCCCACUCCUGACUGCAGCCACCUGGAUAAAGCAGUCCCUUCCCAGGCAGUUCAGGCACUACGGGUGCGAAUGGAAAGCGCUAUUUAAACAGGAGCUGCGUCUCAGUGCGUCCGGGAUCACCAUCAGCGCAGGCAGCCUGCAAGGGCUACGUUCCUCCGAAGGGAUGUCAGUGCAAGGCACGGCUCGAAUUCCUUGGGCUGCGGAUCCUCUUAGAAGGUCUUAAUAAAUGAUUAGGCUAAGUGUAUGAUAAAUAUGUAAUAGAUCAUUUUGUGCCUGUCAGCGGAAUGCAUUGGCUUGCUUCUAGUCAGUGUUUGUUGCAAGGUGAUUUUAUCUUGAGCACUAUGAUUAAAUGAAAUAGUUGCCAGCCAGGUUUUACUCUUUGUAAGUGAAAUAUGUGGUAUAAAGUGUGACCAAACCUGUAGAGAUUAAUUUAACUAAUGCCUGCUGUCAUCAUCAGCCCAAACCAUUCUCUGACAUGAGGUUGGUCAAGCUGGAUUUGGCCAUUUUAUGUCAUCCCAGCCCUGGCUUAGCUCCUGUCUCAUCUUCCUGCAGGACUUCAAAGCCAUGUGUGAUCCAUGCACAGCUUUGAGGCUGUGGCACCCAAGCUGCUGCUUCGAACUGAGACAUCCAGCGCAGCACCCCAGUGAACCGGUGGCAUCCAUGGGGAGACAGGAAAACAAAGUGAUAAUCCACUUUCUAAUUACCGUCCAGCCUCUCCCACCUCCCACCCAUGGCUUCUGCAGUCUGGUGAUUAACUUAAUGACAGUCCCAGCUCCAGCAGUCAGUCCAGCCCCGGAGCAGAAGUCUUGCCAGGAACGUCUUGCCCUGUGUGUCCUGUCUGGGUUCAGACCAAGACCACGGACACGUACACGAGCAGCGCUGGCUGCAGCAGCAAAUCCCAUUGCCUCAUGUGGGGGAUUUAAGCGCUAACUCCCAGUGCACAGUGCAAGCCAGAUGUGUGGGACCUGCUGUAUGGAAAGAACACACUGGAUGGAGAAUGGCAAAAGCUCAGCCAAGGAUGGGCAGGAGGAUGUAUUGGACCCAGGAGACACCUUCGGGCUUUGCAGUAGAGGCAAUUGCCUGAUUAUCAUCUUCAUUUUAAGACACCGCUCACAAUGUUCACUGCUGAGGCUGCAGCUCUUCCCAGAUAUGAGGGCCUGAGCAAAGACCAUGGGCCUUGGGUCCCGCUGCCAGGGCAGAGAUGUGGCUAUAACCAUUUUUACAAGUGCCCUUUCCCCAUCACAGGCUCACACUGAGGCGGAUAUAAAGCAUCGUCCUUUCUCCUGUGCUCCGCUGCAGUGCUGCCUCCCAGCAUCUCGCUUGUGUGGACCACUGAGCUGGCUGGAAGCAGCCACUGAUACGUGCCACUAAUGACACCAUCCUCAUGGUCUCGUCUCUGGUACGCAAGGAGGAUGAGGACCCAGGGAUGAUGCACCGGGUGCAGGGCUGGAGAAAAUGCCUUCCAGUGUAAAACUGCGGUGCAGAGGAGCAUGCAAGGAGAGGUUCAGAUGAAAGAUUGGAGCAAGGCAAGCUCAAAGCUGGAUCUAGCUCUGGGGUCUCCAAGACAAGAGGGACGUGGAGCUGCUGGAGCGAGUCCAGAGGAGGCCAUGGAGCUGCUGCGAGGGCUGGAGC